CGUUGGAAACGGGAUUUUUUUAUAGAACGUUAGAAAGAAGAAUAUUGAGUAAGUUUUUUGUGUUGUUUUUAUUUAAUUUAUAGAGGUGAAUUGUUUUUUAGAUAGAGUAGAUGUGAAAUUUUUUUUUUGUGAUAUUUGUAGGUGGAGAUUUUAAGCGUUUUUAGGUUAAAUGUAGAAAAGGAAAUAUUUUCGUAUAAAAAUUAGAUAGAAUUAUUUUUAGAAAUUAUUUUGUGAUGUGUGUGUUUAAUUUAUAGAGUUUAAUUUUUUUUUUUAUAGAGUAGUUUU
rnacentral:misc_RNA from 1 species